UUACGACCAUAUCACCUUAAAACACCGCUUCUCGUAUGAUGACCAAAGUUAAGCAACCUCGAGCUUGAUCAGUGUCUGGAUGGGUGACCGAUUGGGAAUACCAGAUUACUGUA